AUUGAACGCUGGCGGCAGGCCUAACACAUGCAAGUCGAACGGUAGCACAGAGAGCUUGCUCUCGGGUGACGAGUGGCGGACGGGUGAGUAAAGUAUCGGAACGUGCCCAGUCGUGGGGGAUAACGUAGCGAAAGUUACGCUAAUACCGCAUACGAUCUAUGGAUGAAAGCGGGGGAUCGCAAGACCUCGCGCGAUUGGAGCGGCCGAUAUCAGAUUAGGUAGUUGGUGGGGUAAAGGCUCACCAAGCCGACGAUCUGUAGCUGGUCUGAGAGGACGACCAGCCACACUGGGACUGAGACACGGCCCAGACUCCUACGGGAGGCAGCAGUGGGGAAUUUUGGACAAUGGGCGAAAGCCUGAUCCAGCCAUGCCGCGUGCAGGAUGAAGGCCUUCGGGUUGUAAACUGCUUUUGUACGGAACGAAAAGGUUUGGCCUAAUAAGCUGAGCUCAUGACGGUACCGUAAGAAUAAGCACCGGCUAACUACGUGCCAGCCGCCGCCGUAA
rnacentral:rRNA from 1 species